rnacentral:rRNA from 1 species
GAUGAACGCUAGCUACAGGCUUAACACAUGCAAGUCGAGGGGAAACGGCAUUAAGUGCUUGCACUUUUUGGACGUCGAUCGGCGCACGGGUGAGUAACGCGUAUCCAACCUUCCCAUGACUAAGGGAUAACCUGCCGAAAGGCAGACUAAUACCUUAUGGUCUUCACUGACGGCAUCAGAUGUGAAGUAAAGAUUUAUCGGUUAUGGAUGGGGAUGCGUCUGAUUAGCUUGUUGGCGGGGUAACGGCCCACCAAGGCAACGAUCAGUAGGGGUUCUGAGAGGAAGGUCCCCCACAUUGGAACUGAGACACGGUCCAAACUCCUACGGGAGGCAGCAGUGAGGAAUAUUGGUCAAUGGGCGAGAGCCUGAACCAGCCAAGUAGCGUGCAGGAUGACGGCCCUAUGGGUUGUAAACUGCUUUUGUAUGGGGAUAAAGUCAAUCACGUGUGAUUGUUUGCAGGUACCAUACGAAUAAGGACCGGCUAAUACCGUG